AGAAGAUGUCAGGAAAAUCCUACAGGGACAGCUGAACUUUAUUUGAGGGUCGCGAGGAUACUGGAGCCUAUCCCAGCAGUCGUUGGGCGGCAGGUGUAGUAAAUUGAGAGACUCCUUUAAAUGAGGAGACCAAGCAAAGCAUCCACCCGACGAGGGACGAUUAAUCCAACGAACGGGAAGGCGCUCCCUGAAGAG